UCGUCCUUACGUUGUGCAUUUCAAUUGUGUGUGGAAAUUGACAUGGAAAAUCCAACUUUUCCAAGUUUCGAUUUAUUCAAUAAUUAUUUUUCGCUUUAUUUUUCAAACCAAGACAAUUGCUUAAACUUGAGGAAAUAAAUCGAAUGAUACAGCUAGCUCAACAAUGGUGUAUACCGCUAUAUUCGGGAUUUUUUAAAGAUACUGGGAUUUAGAGGCUACCACUCUAACCACUAAACCACUGGACCCGGCACGUGAAGGUGGGCCUAGGAGGUCAAAUUAAGAAGUCCAAUUUUCGAGUGGUUCCAUAGCCUUUCCUCAGUAAAAAUCCAUAUAACGACGAGGCAGUGUAAUAAUGAAUUUCAUUUAAGCAAAAUUUGUUUGUGUGAUUCAUAUUUGUACCGAUUUUAUUUCAAAUAGGCUUUCCCGAUUUCUCAAAAAGCUAUGCAAAUUGGUGCUUGUGCUAAUUUUCCUACUAUUAUAUACCAAACGAACUUGAACGGUGGCGCGCAAAUACACAGAAUUUCCCCUCCAGGGGAAAAUGAUCCGAAGUUAAACCGUUGCCUGGCAACCCCCGAUGGUGGCGUCGGUCGCUAGGAUGCUGAAACCUGCUGCAACUUGGGAAGAAAAAGUUCUUUCUGGUGGACGGACUCACUUUACGUGCCCCGCCGUAGAAACAUCUCGUUUGCUGUUGUGACAAAGACUACCUGUGUUGUUAGAUUUUUUUUUCUUCUGCAAUCUAUUGGUAUAGCGAGUGGAACUGGUGCAUGUAAAUAAAAAUGAUGAUAAUUUAGUGCAA